CUUUGCUGCUAUUUCCAAUUCUGAUUGAAAUCUUGAAAUCGAUAGCUCGAAUCCUAACUACGAUAAGAUGAGCACCGACCGAUGAAGGGGAAUCCGCCGAGUAAGUCAACUAACCAGACCUUAAGCACUCUUUUCAUCGAGCUCCCAAGCCGAGUAAAGAAGCUAGCACUAGUGUCUGAGGGAGCGGAAGGGAUAUCGGAGUUCUAGUUUCAAAGCAAGAUGAAAGAGCUCCCAAGCCGAGUCAGUAUUAGCUUGUUAACAGGCAUAAGUAACAAAUAGAUAUGACAGGCCUACGCCUUCCAAGAGAGGGAAAGGGAACAGGCAAAAGUAGAAAGUAGACAAGUGCAAUAAAGCGGAUAACGGUUGGGAUACAGAAAAGGUGAUUUAUGGAUAGGAAAAGGACUCGGCCCCGCAAGCGAGGGACACCCCCUUCUUAGACUAGAAAGACUUAUUCUGC
rnacentral:lncRNA from 1 species